rnacentral:rRNA from 1 species
AGCACCUUCGGGUGUGAAUUAGCGGCGAACGGGUGAGGAACACGUGAGAAAUCUGCCUUCAACACUGGGAUAACUCCGGGAAACCGGGGCUAAUACCGGAUACGAGACCUGCAGGCAUCUGCGGGUCUGGAAAGUUUUUCGGUUGAAGAUGAUCUCGCGGCCUAUCAGCUUGUUGGUGAGGUAAUGGCUCACCAAGGCGACGACGGGUAGCCGGCCUGAGAGGGCGACCGGCCACACUGGGACUGAGACACGGCCCAGACUCCUACGGGAGGCAGCAGUGGGGAAUAUUGGGCAAUGGAGGAAACUCUGACCCAGCGACGCCGCGUGCGGGAUGAAGGCCUUCGGGUUGUAAACCGCUUUCAGCAGGGAAGAAGCGAAAGUGACGGUACCUGCAGAAGAAGCACCGGCUAACUAUGUGCCAGCAGCCGCGGUAAUACAUAGGGUGCAAGCGUUGUCCGGAAUUAUUGGGCGUAAAGAGCUCGUAGGUGGUUCGUCACGUCGGAUGUGAAACUCUGGGGCUUAACCCCAGACCUGCAUUCGAUACGGGCGAGCUUGAGUAUGGUAGGGGAGUCUGGAAUUCCUGGUGUAGCGGUGGAAUGCGCAGAUAUCAGGAGGAACACCAAUGGCGAAGGCAGGACUCUGGGCCAUUACUGACACUGAGGAGCGAAAGCGUGGGGAGCGAACAGGAUUAGAUACCCUGGUAGUCCACGCCGUAAACGGUGGGCACUAGUUGUGGGGACCUUCCACGGUCUCUGCGACGCAGCUAACGCAUUAAGUGCCCCGCCUGGGGAGUACGAUCGCAAGAUUAAAACUCAAAGGAAUUGACGGGGCCCCGCACAAGCAGCGGAGCAUGCGGCUUAAUUCGACGCAACGCGAA